rnacentral:rRNA from 1 species
AAUAUUGGACAAUGGGGGCAACCCUGAUCCAGCCAUGCCGCGCGUGUGAAGAAUGUCUUCGGUUUUUAAAGCACUUUACGUUGGGAGGAAGGGCUUUAGGUUAAUACACUGAAGUUUUGACGUUACUAACAGAAUAAGCACCGGCUAACUCUGUGCUAGCAGCCGCGGUAAUACAGAGGGUGCAAGCGUUAAUCGGAAUUACUGGGCGUAAAGCGGGCGUAGGUGGUUCAGUAAGAUGGGUGUGAAAUCCCCGGGCUUAACCUGGGAACUGCUUUCAUAACUGCUGAGCUAGAGUACGGUAGAGGGUAGUGGAAUUUCCUGUGUAGCGGUGAAAUGCGUAGAUAUAGGAAGGAACACCAGUGGCGAAGGCGACUACCUGGACUGAUACUGACACUGAGGUGCGAAAGCGUGGGGAGCAAACAG